CGCUCGCGCUCUCACUGGAGGCCUGAGUCCACGCUCGCGCUCUCACUGGAGGCCUGAGUCAGAUUAUGCCACUGUGCAAGAAGUUUGAUUGACAUGUGGAGCGUGUCGGUGAGGAGAACCAGCCGCAGGGCCAUGGAACAGACUGCCCUCCCCAAGGUGCUCCAGGGGGGCUACCACAGAGUCACCAGCCUCCACUACAUGUCUUCCUUCUCUGAUGCAGAGGGCUGCUGUGAUGACAACAACAGUCACAACAGCACCACCGGCAGCUCCUUCACCGUGGACUGGCAAGAGACGGAUGACUGACACUUGGGCGGCAGGUAGCCUAGAGGUUAGAGAGGCGGGCCAGAAACCGGACGGUUGCUAGUUCAAAUGUGCCCUUGAGCAAAGCACUUCACCCCCAAAUCUGCUCCAUGGUUACUGCACUGUGGCUGACCCUGGCUUCCAACCCCUCAGGCAUGGAUGUGGGGGGUUAAAAGCAAAAGACGAAUGUGUAAUCUGCGAAGAAAAUGGACAACACGUAAACCCAACAUAAAUACGUUGGCUAAUCCUCUGUGUGUGUAUGUGAG
ensembl:lncRNA